GACGAACGCUGGCGGCGUGCUUAACACAUGCAAGUCGAACGGAAAGGCCCUGCUUUUGUGGGGUGCUCGAGUGGCGAACGGGUGAGUAACACGUGAGUAACCUGCCUUUGACUUUGGGAUAACUUCAGGAAACUGGGGCUAAUACCGGAUAGGAGCUCCUGCUGCAUGGUGGGGGUUGGAAAGUUUCGGCGGUUGGGGAUGGACUCGCGGCUUAUCAGCUUGUUGGUGGGGUAGUGGCUUACCAAGGCUUUGACGGGUAGCCGGCCUGAGAGGGUGACCGGCCACAUUGGGACUGAGAUACGGCCCAGACUCUUACGGGAGGCAGCAGUGGGGAAUAUUGCACAAUGGGCGGAAGCCUGAUGCAGCAACGCCGCGUGCGGGAUGACGGCCUUCGGGUUGUAAACCGCUUUCGCCUGUGACGAAGCGUGAGUGACGGUAAUGGGUAAAGAAGCACCGGCUAACUACGUG
rnacentral:rRNA from 1 species